UCCCUGGUAGUCUAUCGGUUAGUACACGCGCCUGUCAUCAGCUAAAAGACUCUUCGCGCGAAAGCUGGGUUCGACUCCCAGCCAGGGAG